GGCCUAACACAUGCAAGUCGAACGAUAUUAAAGGGCUUGCUCUUUAAGAAAGUGGCGCACGGGUGCGUAACGCGUAUGCAACCUACCUUAAUCAGGGGGAUAGCCCGAAGAAAUUCGGAUUAACACCGCAUAAAAACACAGGAUAGCAUUAUCCAAUGUUCAAAUAUUUAUAGGAUUAAGAUGGGCAUGCGUGUCAUUAGCUAGUUGGCGGGGUAACGGCCCACCAAGGCGACGAUGACUAGGGGAUCUGAGAGGAUGACCCCCCACACUGGUACUGAGACACGGACCAGACUCCUACGGGAGGCAGCAGUAAGGAAUAUUGGUCAAUGGAGGCAACUCUGAACCAGCCAUGCCGCGUGCAGGAAGACGGCCCUAUGGGUUGUAAACUGCUUUUAUCUGGGAAUAAACCUUUCUACGUGUAGGAAGCUGAAUGUACCAGAAGAAUAAGGA
rnacentral:rRNA from 1 species